rnacentral:misc_RNA from 1 species
AAAGUCGUAACAAGGUUUCCGUAGGUGAACCUGCGGAAGGAUCAUUAAAAAAAAAUGACAGCUAUCCGGGGACUUUUGUCCUUGGUUGGCGCCUAAUACAACCUGCUUACCUUUACCUGUUGCUUUCUUGGAGUUAGGGACCCACCUGUCUGUUAGCAGGACUGGACAACCUUCCAAGAAAGAACCUUUAAAGCUUGUUUUAGUAAAUAAUGUCUGAUCAAAAUUCUUAAAAGUUAAAACUUUCAACAACGGAUCUCUAGGUUCUC